rnacentral:rRNA from 1 species
GACGAACGCUGGCGGCGUGCCUAACACAUGCAAGUCGAGCGGAGUUAAUGAGAGGAAGUUUUCGGAUGGAAUCUUGUUAAUUUAGCGGCGGACGGGUAAGUAACGCGUGAGCGAUCUGCCUUGCACAGGGGGAUAACGGGGGGAAACCUUCACUAAUACCGCAUGAGACCACACGGUUGCCUGACCGAGGGGUCAAAGGAGCAAUCCGGUGCAAGAUGAGCUCGCGUCCUAUUAGAUAGUUGGUGGGGUAACGGCCUACCAAGUGAACGAUGGGUAGCCGACCUGAGAGGGUGAUCGGCCACAUUGGAACUGAGAGACGGUCCAAACUCCUACGGGAGGCAGCAGUGGGGAAUAUUGGGCAAUGGGGGAAACCCUGACCCAGCAACGCCGCGUGAGGGAAGAAGGUUCUCGGAUUGUAAACCUCUGUCCUUGGUGAAGAGCAGAAGACGGUAGCCAAGGAGGAAGCCCCGGCUAACUACGUGCCAGCCGCCGCGGUAACAC